rnacentral:rRNA from 1 species
UGUCGAAAUCUGCAGAGCAGAAUGACCUGCGAACAAGUGAAAAAUAAUGGCUGAAGAGAGGCACCACGGUCGCCUUCUCCUCUCAACCGAUCAUUGGAGUCGGUUGGUUGGGCCUCGUGCCCUCCCCCGUACCUCUUGUGGUCCCAAUAACCAUACCUCAGCGCGGAAUGCGCCAAGGAAAACAAACAGAAGGUACGCUGCUGCCCCUUGCACCCGUAAAUGGGUUGUGUGUGGCCUGCGUAUUUUGCUUAAUCUAACGUUACAACGACUCUCGGCAACGGAUAUCUUGGCUCUCGCAUCGAUGAAGAACGUAGCAAAAUGCGAUAGCUGGUGUGAAUUGCAGAAUCCCGUGAACCAUCGAGUCUUUGAACGCAAGUUGCGCCUGAAGCCGUCAGGCCAAGGGCACGCCUGCCUGGGUGUCACCCUCCCCCUUGCCCAAAUGCACGCCUCCUCCCAUCGAAAAAUGAGAUGAGCGAUUUGGGCGGAUAAAUGGCCUCCCAUGGGAAAUAUUUUCGUGGUUGGCCCAAAAUUAGCACUUGGCUCUUAGGAAGCCACGACAAGCAUUGGCGAAAAACUCAGGUGAUUCCUUGAUCGUUGUUGUGGUGCGGGACUUUGUAGCGUGCUGUAAAAUACCUCCGGUGCUUGCAUCCUAAGAUGCGA